GUGCAAGUAGUUCUACAGGAUGGGGAACCAAUGCCGUCUGGAUGAAGUAAGCAGUACACGAAUAGAUUGGCCUGGACAUGUAUAUUGUAUGUAGAGGAAAGAGGAGGUCGCUUGACUGUUCUUUGCAAAUAAAUUUCUUAACCAGUAGGCUUCCAUAGAAUUGAGCAUCCAUGAAUCCAAGACCGCCCUUUCCACACUAGCUGGAAAACACGUGACCCUCGUUGCUGACUAAGUGCAGAUGCACAGGGUUAGCAGUUAGCUAAACAGCACGCAGCUGGGAUGGCUCGUGAAGGGCGAGACCCCUGAUCAGACAAGCGCCCGUAGAAAGCUCCCCAGUUUCCAUCUGGAAGUGGGGAAGUCCAGGAAAGGCUAAGAUUAUUUUUGAUUAAUAUCUUCAGAUUUUCUCGAACACAGAGAAUAAUAGGUGAAGGGAGCCCUCAAUUCCUAUUUCCUGGAAAACAGCCCAAUCGGCACAUUAGGAGCCAACCUCACGAGCACAAUCUAUCUGUACAGAAUCAAGAGCGAACCUGUCCAAGUGUGGCUUAACUGUUGCUGUCUUUGUGAUACACGUGUGGAAGAAGGAGAGCAGUCACCCAGCUGAGUGAGAAGAGCCAGCACCUGCUGUUGUCCAGCCUCACUCUUGCUGCUGCAGUAACAAAGGUGGAGGAAGCCAUCUGGGAGAACCCCACCUAGGAACGCCAGAAGCUCUUUUCUUCUAUGUGGAGCUCUCAGAUUGCUGUUAAGAGUAAGAAAGGAUUAAACUUCCCCUGUCCAUAGCUUUCCUAAGUAUUUCUUCCCCGACAAAGGAAAGGUAUCCCAGGGAUGCUACCCGCCAUUGUACCUACAUGUGUUGGGUUUUGGUUGAUCUCUUUUGGCAUCUUUCCUGGUCAAGCC
rnacentral:lncRNA from 1 species